UUCAUACUCCCUCCGUUCCGAAUUACUUGUCACAGGUAUGGAUGUAUCUAAAUGUAUUUUAGUUCUAGAUACAUCCAUUUUUGCGACGAGUAAUUUGAAACAGAUGGAGUAUAUA
rfam:Triticum aestivum genome assembly, contig: Triticum_aestivum_CS42_TGACv1_scaffold_112895_2AS